CUUAAAGAGAAUUGUUUUUUCUUGAUUAUAAUCCUUAGGUCUGCUCAUUGGUGCUGUGUACUGUUGAAUCUGUUAAUACUGUAUGGAGCAGUCUUUGCAGUGUUAAUAUUGUACCUUAUAGCAGAGCCAGCUACUUAUCAAGAGCUAUGCAAUCCGUAAAAACCUAUAGAUCUAUAUCUAACAAAAUGGUGAGAGCAGAAGACACACUAGAAUUUCUUAAACAGUGUAAAUUAAAUGGAGUGUACCCAAAAUCAUUUCUAAGCAUAAUGCUCCCGGUCAAAUCCCACAGAGUACUCCAAAACACAAGAAGAAUAUGCUUGAAAGUAGCGAUUUCACAAGCGAGAAGAAGAGUUUUUAAAUUGGCAAAUGAUAGUGACAAUUUGGUUAUAACUGCAGAACCUCAACUCCCCUGCUGAAAGGAACUUCCUAGAAAUCUGCCAAAGAGAUAUAGAGGCUCUUAAAUCUAGAAGUAGACAGAGCCAUAUAAAGAAGCUAAAAUGGUUUAUUAGAACACAGUUGAGGAAUUUCCCUAAAGCACAUGCCCUGAAGUUGCAGGAUGUAGCUUAAUAAUUGAUAAUUUUCCAAUACCAGAAUACCUCGAAAGAGUCCUUAAAAGAAGGCCCUGC
rnacentral:lncRNA from 1 species